UUUGCAUGUAUAUUGCAUGCAUGGUUAAGUAACACUUUUACACACUCUUCGUGUCCAUUUAAUGCUGCUAUUCUUAAAGAGUUUUGAAGGC